UACGUAGGGUGCGAGCGUUAAUCGGAAUUACUGGGCGUAAAGCGUGCGCAGGCGGCGCGUUAAGACAGGUGUGAAAGCCCCGAGCUUAACUUGGGAAUUGCGCUUGUGACUGGCGUGCUGGAGUGUGGCAGAGGGAGGUGGAAUUCCACGUGUAGCAGUGAAAUGCGUAGAGAUGUGGGGGAACACCGAUGGCGAAGGCAGCCUCCUGGGCCAGCACUGACGCUCAUGCACGAAAGCGCGGGGAGCAAACAGG
rnacentral:rRNA from 1 species